rnacentral:rRNA from 1 species
AUUGAACGCUAGCGGCAGGCCUAACACAUGCAAGUCGAACGAGUGGCGGACGGGUGAGUAAUGUAUGGGAACGUGCCCGAUGGCGGGGGAUAACUACUGGAAACGGUAGCUAAUACCGCAUACCAUCAGAUGUGCCCAGAUGGGAUUAGCUAGUUGGUGGGGUAACGGCUCACCAAGGCAACGAUCCCUAGCUGGUCUGAGAGGAUGACCAGCCACACUGGAACUGAGACACGGUCCAGACUCCUACGGGAGGCAGCAGUGGGGAAUAUUGCACAAUGGGCGCAAGCCUGAUGCAGCCAUGCCGCGUGUAUGAUGAAGGCCUUCGGGUUGUAAAGUACUUUCAGCGGGGAGGCGUUACCCGCAGAAGAAGCACCGGCUAACUCCGUGCCAGCCGCCGCGGUAAUAC